rnacentral:rRNA from 1 species
GAUGAACGCUGGCGGCGUGCCUAGUACAUGCAAGUCGAGCGAACAGACGAGGAGCUUGCUCCUCUUACGUUAGCGGCGGACGGGUGAGUAACACGUGGAUAACCUACCUAUAAGACUGGGAUAACUUCUGGAAACCGGAGCUAAUACCGGAUAAUAUAUUUAACCGUAUGGUUCAAUAUUGAAAGACGGUUUUGCUUUCACUUAUAGUUGUAUCCGCGCCGCAUUAGCUAGUUGGUAAGGUAACGGCUUACCAAGGCAACGAUGCUUAGCCGACCUGAGAGGGGGAUGGGCCAAACUGGAACUGAGACACGGUCAAAACACCUAGGGAAGGAGGAAGAAGGGAAUCUUCGGCAAUGGGGGAAAGCUUGACGGAGAAACGCGGGGUGAGUGAUGAAGGUCUUCGGAUCGAAAAACUGGGUGAUAAGGGAGAAACAAAUGUGUAAGGAAAAAUGCACGUAUUGACGGUACCUAAUCAGAAAGCCACGGCUAACUACGUG